GACGAACCGUGCAAACGUUAUUCGGAAUCACUGGGCUUAAAGGGCGCGUAGGCGGGCCGCCCGGUCCGGGGUGAAAUCCUCCAGCUCAACUGGAGAAGUGCCUUGGAUACCGGCGGCCUCGAGGGAGGCAGGGGCGUGCGGAACUUCGGGUGGAGCGGUGAAAUGCGUAGAUAUCCGAAGGAACACCGGUGGCGAAAGCGGCGCGCUGGACCUCUUCUGACGCUGAUGCGCGAAAGCGUGGGGAGCAAACAGG
rnacentral:rRNA from 1 species